CCUACGGGAGGCAGCAGUGAGGAAUAUUGGUCAAUGGACGCAAGUCUGAACCAGCCAUGCCGCGUGCAGGAUGACGGCUCUAUGAGUUGUAAACUGCUUUUGUACGAGGGUAAACGCAGAUACGUGUAUCUGCCUGAAAGUAUCGUACGAAUAAGGAUCGGCUAACUCCGUGCCAGCAGCCGCGGUAAUACGGAGGAUUCAAGCGUUAUCCGGAUUUAUUGGGUUUAAAGGGUGCGUAGGCGGUCGUAUAAGUUAGAGGUGAAAAUCCGAGGCUCAACUUCGGAAGUGCCUCUGAUACUGUACGGCUAGAGAGUAGAUGCGGUAGGCGGAAUGUAUGGUGUAGCGGUGAAAUGCGUAGAGAUCAUACAGAACACCGAUUGCGAAGGCAGCUUACCAAGCUACGUCUGACGUUGAGGCACGAAAGCGUGGGGAGCAAACAGGAUUAGAUACCCCUGUAGUC
rnacentral:rRNA from 1 species